AUCCAAUGAGCCUCCUCCCUGCAGCUGGCUGAUGUAGCUCACUGAUGUCUGUGUAGAUAGGGAGCUGUGAUGAGAACAAGAGGUCAGAACACAUCUAGGCUCCUUAAGAGAAAGCCUUUCUUUAACCGUUUCUGAAACGCUUCAAAGGCAGAGACUUGUCCAGCCUAACCUCCCUGCUGCCCCUAUCUCCUGAGGCUCAGGGCCCUUGGCUUCUGUCCGCCCUGCUCAGGGCCCUCCAGCGUUGCCACUCCUCAGCCAUGGUCCUGCUGCUCGUGCCAGUGCUCGAGGUGAUUUUUACCCUGGGAGGAACCAAAGCCCAGUCUGUGACCCAGCUUGACAGCCAAGUCUCUGUCUCUGAAGGAGUCCCUGUGCUGCUGAGGUGCAACUACUCAUCAUCUUUUCCACCAACUCUCUUCUGGUAUGUGCAAUACCCCAACCAAGGACUCCAACUUCUCCUGAAGUACACAUCAGGGACCACCCUGGUUAAAGGCAUCAACGGUUUCGAGGCUGAAUUUAAAAAGAGUGAAACCUCCUUCCACCUGACGAAAGCCUCAGCCCAUGUGAGCGAUGCGGCUGAGUACUUCUGUGCUGUGAAUGACACAGUGCCUGAGACUGCAGAGCAGCUGAACACAAACCUCCUGAGAUACUGA